UUAUAAAAUAACUGACAAAUCUUCUAGGAGAACAAUCUCAUGCUAGAAGGAAUUGUUAUGGUUUCUUAGGUGUUCAAAUCGUAGGCACUAAAAGUCUUAUACUCAAUAGGAAAUUGCAAUGAAGUGGGUUUAUCAUCUGUUGUCGGCUUUUUCCAGUUCAUAAUUAUAGUUUAGGAUGAACCUUAUUCCAUUGACAACACCAAUUCACUAAGAGGCACAACAUUGCACUGAAAGAAUUCAACAAAAGUGCAAUUAAUGACACUAAUCGAUAGAAAACUAUACCUACUCUCCCUGUGGAUAGAUAAGCCAUUACCAUCACGGAAGGAAUAUGUUGACCCACUAAGCUACACACAUGAAGGUACUGUUGAACAUACACUUUCGCUCUUUUAUUUUACCAUAAGGACUAUCUUUCAAUUUUGCAUGUCACAUAGGAACUACUGUUCUGCUGGAUAAUUUAAUAUGCAUUUAAAUUGUGUAUAAUGUAUUAUUUUACUUUUCAAAUUAAAUAAAAGUUUUUUUU